rnacentral:rRNA from 1 species
AGCGAACGCUGGCGGCAGGCUUAACACAUGCAAGUCGAACGGCAGCACGGGUGCUUGCACCUGGUGGCGAGUGGCGAACGGGUGAGUAAUACAUCGGAACGUACCUUAUCGUGGGGGAUAACGCAGCGAAAGUUGCGCUAAUACCGCAUACGCCCUGAGGGGGAAAGCGGGGGACCGUAAGGCCUCGCGCGAUUAGAGCGGCCGAUGUCUGAUUAGCUUGUUGGUGAGGUAAAAGCUCACCAAGGCGAUGAUCAGUAGCUGGUCUGAGAGGACGAUCAGCCACACUGGGACUGAGACACGGCCCAGACUCCUACGGGAGGCAGCAGUGGGGAAUUUUGGACAAUGGGGGCAACCCUGAUCCAGCAAUGCCGCGUGAGUGAAGAAGGCCUUCGGGUUGUAAAGCUCUUUUGUCAGGGAAGAAACAGCAGCUCUAACACAGUCUGCGAAUGACGGUACCUGAAGAAUAAGCACCGGCUAACUACGUGCCAGCAGCCGCCGUAA